GACGAACGCUGGCGGCGUGCUUAACACAUGCAAGUCGAACGAAGUGGCGAACGGGUGAGUAACGCGUAAUCAAACUGACCUUCAGAGGGGGACAACAGUUGGAAACGACUGCUAAUACCGAAUACUGAAGGAGGGGAUUGCGUCUGGUGAGCUAUGUGGAGGGGUAACGGCCCACCAAGGCGAUGAUCAGUAGCCGGUACGAGCGGAUGAACGGCAAAAUGGUGACUGUGACACGGCCCAGACUCCUACGGGAGGCAGCAGUGGGGAAUCUGCCGCAAUGGACGAAAGUCUGACGGAGCAACGCCGCGUGAGUGAUGACGGCCUUCGGGUUGUAAAGCUCUGUUAAUCGGGACGCGGUACCGGAAUAGAAAGCCACGGCUAACUACGUGCCAGCAGCCGCGGUAAUUC
rnacentral:rRNA from 1 species